CAGUGAUGCAAUUCAGAUCGAAUCUCGUUCCCAGCCGAUAAGUACGAUCCUGCUGGAUCGCGCGAGAAGUGUUAAAAAAUAGUGAAAAAAAAUAGAAAGAAGUAAGGAAUUAGUAGGUUCGACCAUAAAAUGGCCUUGGCGACCUGUCAGUAUCCCUCGUGGGCAGGGGUUGGCUCGAGAAUAAUUUAAAGGCGUUAAUAAAAUACAAACACGGUUAGGGAAUGUUUAUGGGACCCCGUGGAGGUAGGGAAGCAACGUUGUGACUCAGCGUGCACGUGGAUGACGUAAGAGGGUUAGGGUCCUGACCAACCAAGCCAUGAACGUUAAGGGACAUGCCGGGGGAUUUGAGUCCCCCUUGACUCAAAGAGGGACGUCAAAGGGAUGCAUAACUCUCGGUCACGCAUUGUGCGUGGGUAGACUGGAAACCUGACGGUAAAUAUAUGGACAAAAUUAAAUCGUCUUUUACUCGGUCAGCCUAACCUACAAUGUCUCAUUCGAUAUCCACGUAUACGUAUAACCGAGGAGAAUCGCAUAUCGGUCAUAAAGUUCGACGUUGAAAAAUCUUCUUUUUUAAAAUUCAUAAUUUCUUUAACUCACGUGCACGCUUUUACCUACAUAUAUUUUACAGUUAACAAGAAGCCUCCGGUGCUGAGCUAUUCACGUGUCCCUUAUUUCUCGUUCGUUCUCGGAUGUGUCUUCCUAGUUUUUUGUCUCUCUUCUCCCCUUCCGAGCCCUUAACCUUGAAAGGCAGAGACUCUAUAUUUGGUCGGGAGCUCAGGCCCAAUCAGUGCACAGGAAUGCAUCGCAUAGACAGAAGUCAUCUGUGGUAUAAUCGCAAAGUGGAAUCGUGCUCGACGCAAAGUCUCGAAGGAUAACCAGGAUUGCGUAAGAUCCUACUGUUGUUGUAUAUCUAUGGCUGUUAACUGCGGUACGGAAAGGUCCCUGGCUCCUUGGCAAUGGCGCAAUCCAGCCAGCCGUGGCUGCCUACACACGUAUCACAACACCGAUUCCGCGUUACACAAGGGACAGGUGCAGCACCGGGAGUAAGUAGCUGUGUCGAGUUCCUCACCCUGAACCACGUGACGUCGUCCGAUCUUCGUAGGUUUUGAAAUUUUUUUUUAUUUUUCAUCAUUUUUUUUUCUUUCCAAUACCAUCCAGGUCUGUGACUGCCAUAUUGAAUAUUCUUUGAUCUGUCACCUGCGCGGGGAGCACGCGAUGAUUUGGUCAAAUGACAUUCAGUUUGUUUGAUUAGGGUGAGGUUCUUGGCGAAAUGUCUACUGCAUGUACGUAGCUGCUGAAUUGUUAUUAAAAUUAUUUUAUUAUUUUCGUAUUUCGCCAAACUUUGUUGAGUCUAAAUAAUUACGACGUGACGUAAUUCGGCACACGCUUGUCGCACUGUUUGCCGUCGUUAUUCUCUUUGCCAUGAUCACAUACCGACCAUCAUUAUCUUGGUAGGAGGAUCAAUGGGCUCUCUGGGGAUUUCGUCAUUGCUCGGCAUACCCUCCUUGGGAUCCCUUCCAGUCGGUGUUUAGUCUGAACACUAAAAUCUGAAAUGUAGGGAGAAACUGAGAGGGUGAGCUAUCUUUAUCUUGGGUUAUGAGGGGGACUCGCAUCCGGUUACGUACCUAGACCCUUUCCGCAGUCUCCGUAUUUCCUUGUGUCUUUUAAUAUAUAAUGCAUCUGCCAUUUUGUUAUUUUCUCUAUUUUCAGUCAUACUGAUAUUUUAAUUAACUUAGACAACUUCAACUGACAGUCGCAUUAGAAUCUCUUACAGUUUCUGAUCAAAAAUUGUGCACUGAGUAUUCUAGUAUUUAACGAAAGACCGUAUGCUACCGCCAUCUCGCGGUGAAACUCGGAACCCUGUGGACAAGUAGCUCUUCUCGUUUAUACAAAAUAAGAUAGCCUACGUUAGACACAACAAUUUCGAAAUUAAAGUGAAUUGUUUUUUAUUCGAAUAUUUGCU